rnacentral:rRNA from 1 species
UACGUAGGGUGCAAGCGUUGUCCGGAAUUAUUGGGCGUAAAGAGCUCGUAGGCGGUUUGUCGCGUCUGCUGUGAAAACUCGGGGCUUAACCCCGGGCCUGCAGUGGGUACGGGCAGACUAGAGUGCGGUAGGGGAGACUGGAAUUCCUGGUGUAGCGGUGAAAUGCGCAGAUAUCAGGAGGAACACCGGUGGCGAAGGCGGUUCUCUGGGCCUGGUCUGACGCUGAGGAGCGAAAGCGUGGGGAGCGAACAGG